GAUCGUGACCUGAGCCAAAGUCUGACGCUCAACCGACCGAGCCACCCAGGCACCCGAGAGAUCUUGUUAUUUAUUCUGUUUGGUUCUUUAUUAUUUGAUAAGUCUAUAAUGUUCCCAGCUUAUUUUCCACGUGUUCAUCUCAUUCCCUCAAAUGUUUUUGUUUGUUUGUUUGUUUGUUUUUUACUGCUUAUCAAACAGAAGCCGGCCACCAGAAUUUUCUAAGGACCUCCUUUUGUGCCGGGCCCUGUGUUAGGUGCUUCUUACAUAGUUUUAUUUAAUCCUCAAGACAUCUGGGAGUUAGGUGUUGCUCUCCUCAUUUUAUACCCGAGAGACUGGAACUUACACACACUGUACACAUAAUAAACUUCUAAGGGUCACACACAGCUGGCAAGUAGGGGAGUGCUGUGCAGCUUCUGUGUGCUAAGGCAGGACGCCAGCCAUGGACACAGCUGGGGGAUGGGUGGGGAGAGGAGGCCCCCAAACACAGAUCACAUUACCCAUGUAGUAUGCUCCCCACAGCACCAGGCACAUGGUUGUUCAGUAAGAACACCCAUGAUGGUGUUCUUAACCAUGACCCUCUUCUACUGAAAUACACUGGGACAGCCCCCUCGACCUCCGACUGAGGCUCAAGUACAGGUGUGUAGCCAGGGCAGGGGUCCUUCUGAUAAGGCCUGAUGGGGAUGGUGAAAUGGGAAGACAUGUCAUGAUGACGUUGCUCCUUCACUGGCUCCCUUCGUAUUUAUAGUGCGAGCAUACGCAAGACGCUAGGGAGAGCCUGCGGGAAAUGUGGCAGAGUCUUGGCCUUCAGGAGCUGAGACAUUAUCAAGAAACAUUUCCUCCUCCUUCAGAACCAUCCAGAGAUCCAGAAGAAGAGUUCUCAGUUCACAGUGAGAACUGUUCAGUUCACAGUUCACAGUGACGUUCUGAGCAAAAAGGAGGAAGGAGGGAGGAAAACCAUUGUGGGAGCGGGGGUGGGGGGGGACACACACACACACACACACAGCCAUGAACCAAAGCCACUAAAUGUCCUUCAUAAAGUAAAACUUACAGAAUACCAAGACUUAUUUCCUCCCGCUAUUUGAAGUUGCUUUUUAUGUUCAGAAAACUCAGAGUAGGAGUCAGUGGUUUUCUCUUACUUUGAGCUGUGUGCUUUGGACAGCCUGGGACCCAGACCACCCCAACUGGGUUGGUAUCUCGAACUUUCCCCGCUCCCCAGACUCAUGGCUGCUCCAAGCUCAUGUCACUGAAGCCUUUCACAGGCGCAUCCAUGGGCCCUGGUGUGUCAGGAACAGAGCCAUGAUGCCUUCUUCCUGGGAGACAGGGAACGAGAUCUCCAUGGCGGCAGGAUUGACGCCUAAAAUUGUCGGAGGGGGUGACAGGUUGCCAACGUCUUAGAAGAACGCUGCGUUUUUAUGUUGUGCCGAUUUUUGAAAUCCGGCUCCUGCUUGUAGAUUGUCGUGUAACCAUGUCAAGGAUUAGGUAGGGUUUUUGUAUUUAUAUAUACAUGGGCAUUGUUGUUCCUGAUGAGUCCAGCAGUGGGCUGGCGGGGAAGCUCCGUCCACCUCGCAGAGCACUUAACAAGAGACCUGACAACAGCAAUAUGUUACCUCUUUUGUUUGUAUGGCAUCUUCACACCCACUCGCUCGGCAACGGACUGAAUGAAAUGUGCUCCGCUGCUUUGUGUGGAGGAAAAAGAAUGAAAAUAAUGGCCAUUCAGGCAAAAUAAAGCUUUUUAGUGCUUUUCAGAAAGCAGUCUUGUCUUCAUUGUUGUCCCGGUGUUCACAUAAUGGCCUUAUCCUGUCCUUCAUUGAAACACGCCCAAAGCAAGGAAAACAUCGCACCCUGCACACAAACAAAUGUGUGUUCUGAAAGUGAUCAACAAGGAAGGCAUGGGUCUGAGAGGGCCGUUGGACCAGUUAUCCAGAGGGUUUGUGAGGAGAGGGCUUCCGCUCAGAGCAAAGACAACGGACAGGUGAUGUGGACGGCGGGAAGGGGCUUGUUAGAAAAAUAGUUUUGGAGAUGAAGUUCUGUCUGGCAGGAUCUCGAGAAGGGGAAAGACAUGAUUUUCACUGUUAUCCCUGCCAUUGUGCACACUGAUCAGGCACAUGCUGUGUGCCAGGUGUGACACUGAGCGUCUCUUAAGUAUUAUGUAAUCCUCUCAGAAACCUCUGAGGAGAACUGUUGUCCCCAUUUUAGUUAUGAGGAACCUAGAGUCUCGAGAGAUCAAGUCACCUCCCCAGCAUCAUUCAACUGGGAAAUGGUGGAAUCAGGAGUCAAAUCCAGAUACCGUCUGACCCCACACACCAACUAUUCUUUGAAUUUUUUUUACGUUUAUUUAUUUAUUUUGAGAGACAGAGAACACAAAGGAGGGGGGAAGAGAGAGAGAGGGAGAGAGAGAAUCUGACACAGGCUCUGUGCUGUCAGUGCAGAGCCCAACAUGGGGCUGGAAUUCACAAACCACGAGAUCAUGACCUGAGCCAAGAAGGAGUUGGAUGAUUAACUGACUGAGCCAAUCUGGCUCCCCCAACAUACAUACCAAUUUUUUUUAAUGUUUAUUUAUUUUUGAGAGAGAGAGAGAGAGAGAGAGAGAGAGAGAGAGUGAACAGGGGAGGAGCAGAGAGAGAGGGAGACACAGAAUCCGAAGCAGGCUCCAGGCUCCCAGCUGUCGGCACAGAGCCCGAAGCCGGGCUCGAAAUCACGCACCGUGAGAUCACGACCUGAGCCGACAUCUGAUGCUCAACCAACUGAACCACCCAGGUGCCCCUUUACCAACUUUUUAAACACCACCCUAGGAUCCCCAGAAUCCAAUCACCCAGGCUUAUAAAUUAGAGGAAGUGACACCUGGGUAACAAUGGGAAUUCCAGGGAGAGUUACUUUGGGAACCCAAGUUCAUUUGACUGCUCAUCUUUAUGAUAGGAUUGUAGGGGUGCUGCAUGUUGUGUCAAUCAUCAAACGUUGGAGAGGCAGAAUAAGUGAGGACAUCAGCCUGAGUUCGGGGCAAGAUAUCCUCUAAACCAGCUCAGCAAACACGGACUAUUCACUGUUCCUCUCUGGGUGUUGCUAGCCUGGUCUCUUAAGUCCACCCUUGACUCAUUAAAAUCGGUGCUGGGCUGGAAAAAUCAUCAAGAUCCUCCCGACAAUAAGAUUUUCUGUUCCCAUAUCUCUCUAGCCACCUUCUCAUGGUGACUUCUAGUUAAUCUCUUAUUUCUGUUUGUAUCAAUGACGAGAAACCCACUGGAGCCACAAAGGCCAUUGAUCCCCCCACUUCACCAGCCUUAAAGUGAUCCUUAACCUCUGUGUGCUCCAUGCCUCUUGCCCUCUCCUGAGUCUAUCCUCAUCGUCUCAACUCUUCUAGGUCCACUUGAAAUCCCACCCCCCACCCCAGCAAGAUCCUACUUGACUCUUCCCCAAGCCACAUUCAGAGACAUUGCAGUGGCAGCUUGAAAGCAGUCACUUUAGGAGCAUUUAAACAGAACUGGAAAGAACUACACAUCAAGCCAUCGUUAUUGUUUUGAGAGCUCGUUUAUGAGCCCACCACUGCUCAUACCCAAUGUCCUACCCCCAUUUGACUCCAGCCAUUUAAUACCCCACAGGCCAUUGUUUUAUCAUGUGCCUAUACAUGUCUCACUACAGAGACUGUGGGGUCAUCAAAUUCUUUACAUCUCUGCAGUACCUCAUGUACCUUAUAAGUAGUGAGCACUCUGUCCGUACUGUUCAUCUCAUUUCCUUGGGUGUACUUUUUUCGAUCCAGUUGGUUGCAUGAAAAUCUGUUAAAUAGCCCAUUGUCAUUUAUGCAUUCAUAAACCAUUUAUUCAGACCAAGGAGCAUUUACCGUGUGCCAGGCAUUAGUUCAAAAGGCAGAAUCCCUGAUAGUAAAAGCUGUAGGAGGUCUUUUCCCACAGAGAGCUCACAUUCUAGUCAGGAGAGACUAAAAAUAGACAAGUAAGCAAAUUAACAAAUAAAUUGGAUGCUGUCUGUUAACAAUAAAAGAAUAACUUAGAAGGAUGGAAUAGAGGAACUGGAAAUUGGGUGGUACCUAAUCUCAGGUUGAGAUGUGUAUUUGCUUCCUGUUGCUGCUAUAACAAACUAUCACACGUUUUUUGGCUUUAAACAAUACAUAUUUAUCUUACAGUUUGGGACGUCUGAAGUCUAAAAUGGGUUGGCAGGCCUGUGUUCCUUCUGGAGGCUCUAGGGAAGAAUCCAUUUCUUGCCUGUUGCAGCUUCUGAGUCUAUUUGUACCACUUGGCUCCUGGCCCUGCACAUCUCUGACCUCUGCUUGUGUCAUCACAUCUCCUCCAACUCUGACUCUCUUACCCCCUUCUUUUCCUUAUAAAGAUCCUCCCUGCCUGGGUAAUCCAGGAUAAUUUCCCCAUCUCAGAAUCCUAAACUUGAUCAUAACUGAAAAGUCCCUUUUGCUCUAUAAGGUGGCCUAAUCAUAGAUUCCAGAGACAGGAUGUAGACGUCAUCAGGGGACAUUAUUGUGCCUCCCGAGGGAAGGCUUUCUUGAGGAGGUAACAUUUGAGAUGACACUCAAAUAACAAAAACAUAUGAGGGAGAGUAUUCCAGAUAGAACAUCCUGCAAAGAUCAUGAGCCUGGCCUGAGCUUAGAGUUUCUGAGGAAGGUUCCAACUCAUUUGAAUGAGCAUCCAGAGGGAGGCCAGGGAGGUAGGCAGGGCCCAGGUGCCUCAGCAUCAUGGGGGCCAGAGUGGGAGCAUGGACUUCAUUCUGAGUGUGAUGGGGAGUUGGCAGAGGACUCAAGAGUUGUGUUUUUCACUGGGUUGAUCCAUACUUUAAUGGAAACAACUUCUCUGGCAAUUGUCUAAAGCAGUGCUGGCCAGUAGAAAUAUAAUGCAAUGCACAUUUCUAAUUUUAAGUGUUCUGGUAGCCAUAUUUUUAAAAAGUGAAAAGAAACAGGGUAAGUUAUUCUUAAUAAAACAUUUACUUAACCCCAUACAUCAAAAAUAUUAUUUCAACAUAUAAUCAAUAUAAAGAACAUAAGAAUGUGAUAUUUUUACCUUCUUUUAAAAAAAGUAUUAUGUCUUCAACCUCUGGUGUAUGUUUUAUGCUUAAAUCACAUCUCAGUUUUGACUAGUCAUAUUUCAAGUGCUCAAUAGCCACCUGUGGUUUGUGGCGACCGUUUUGGACAGUGCACCUCUGGACACGGUCCUCACAAUCCUGUGAAGAGUCUACUCAGGGAAUGUUUGAAAAAGCAGUGAACAGUGGGGUGUCACACAGAAUGUGGGGCACAUGUCACUGCCCUUAGCCAUUCCCAACUUCAUAAGAAGAAUAUAAUAUAUUCUAGACAGGAAUGUGUCCCCUGGUCCACUCUGAGUGGACUCUUGUCUGGCUGGAACCUCCAAGGAACACCUAUCUCUAUCCAUUUGAGUGGUCUUUAAGUUCACCUCUUUGUCUACCCCUCAUAACCUUUAAUCCCCUGAGAGUUUUAGCCCAAGCCACACUUUCCCCACUUCUUUAUAGACAGGGCCAUUUAUUCAACUCAUUGUACCGAUAUUAUGGAAAACAAGGGCAGAGGUCAAGAAUGGGAAAAAUUGAAUGAAGCAACAAGAGGGUAUCAGUUGCUAGGCAAGAACUGUAUCUCAGACGCUCCCAAGCUGUACCCAUGCCUUCCUAUGCUCUCACAGUGACCCAUCCCUGAUGCUAACCAGCCACAAAAGUCUAGCCCGAAAAGCUUAGUACAAUAACACCAUGUAUAUUCAUUUAGAGUUUUUACAGUGAUAUUAAAUUAAAAGGGUUUAUGAAAUAGAAAAUAAAGAUCUGAAUUAAAAAGGUAGGUCAUGGAGGUUACAUAAAGGCCAGCUUAGGAGAAGCAUAUUCAACACUGCACAAGACAGUAAAAAUAACAGCAACAUUUAUUAGAAUAUCCUAUUUAGAGCCAGUGAUCUGUGCCACACUGCUUUCCGGAAAAGGGAUGGCACCAGGUUCCCUUCUGAUGAUGGAUUUGGUGGGCUGGCACCUUGACCCGGACAUCUGGGCUGUGGGUACCAGCAGCACCAUCAAAAGACAGUUUGGCUGUUUUGACAUGUAGGGACAGAAGCUCUCAUGUGCAAGGACAAAGGUGCCUUCAGUGAGUGCUUUGGGGCUUUAGAGCAGCAGUCAAAUUACCAGUGGCUCUAAUUAGUGUGCCUGCAAUCUGGAGCGAUCUAUAUCUGCAUCCCAAAAAGGGGUGGAAUGCUUCCCUGUGAUAACACAUUAGCACAAGACAUUCUUGGGUGAGUUUCCCAAAAUUACAAGGACAUGAUGGUGUGGGAGAGAAUCAGCCUCGAUGGAAACCUGUUGCUUUCAAAAUCAGCAGCCAUCUUUGCAAUCAGCCAGUGAACAAAUAUUUGUCUACUACCUGUGAAGUGCUACAAUCUGGAGGAACUUAAGCAGCAUGAGGUCCCUACUUCCCAGGGACUUAAGACCUGGCUGGAGAAAAAAAAUAAUAACCGUGCAAUAAUAAAUAACAGUACAUGGCACUACUGUGGUACACUGGGUCAGGUUCUGGCCUGAGAAUCAGUAGAUCUAAGUUCUGCCACGAACUCAGCUAUUUCUGAGUGCUACUACCUGUGGUCUAGUCAUCACCUAGCAGGGGCAAUGGUUACUGGAUCACACAAGACUCAUUUCCUUAGGACAAGGCACCUUACCUCUCUGGACCUCAAGAUCUUCUAGAAAUCAAGAGGGUUUGGAGAGAUUAUGAUGGUGGCAAUAAUAAUAAUGGCUCCAUACCGUGACGUCUAACUUUGUGCUCGUGGUUGUGCCACAUACGUUACAUAAGUAAAGUUUUCCCAGUUUAUAUAGAUGAGAAAACGGAGAUUUAGGCUAAGUAACUUACCCCAAAGCAAAGAGCACUGACUAAUGCAGACCUGAGAUUCAAUAGCAAGCCUUUGGGUCUGUAAGUUUGGAAUCUAAAUGCCCUGCACCCCAUCCCAGCUAUCACAUUCUUUAGUUCUGGGACCUGAAAUAAUCAUGGGAAGAUUACUUGGGAGGCUUACUGGGUGAAGACUGAUGGAAAAACCAUGUUGCAGUAAAACAUGGACCGGGUGUAAGCAGAGCUCCAGAGGGAGAAAGACACCUGUCGCUGUGGCUCAGAGAAUUCAGACCCAACUGUAUCAGAACACCGUGAUGCUGGAAUUCUGCAUCUCUGUCUGGGAUAUGCUGAUCAACCAAUGCCGGUGUCUCAGUUUGCACUGAUGCAGCACUGGUCAUUCGGCAAGACAGUCACACAGCAGGCGGAGUCACCAGAAGGGGACUUCAGGGCUGCUGCGUGAAAAUAAGUCUCAACUCUUCAACAUUUUCAUUUUAUACUAGUCUCAGCCACAGGUGGAAGAGCUGUGAAUUUCACUUUAGCCAUAAUGUUUGGUUAGGACACACACACACACACACACACACACACACUGGCACCCACAAAGUCUUCACUUUGAGGCAAGGGUGGGUUUGGUUUCCUUCACUUACACAACUGAUGCCGCCCAGGGACUCUUUGGUUUAGAUGGCUCAUUAGCCACAAACUGUUUCGUUAUGUGUUGCCCAGUUACCUUGGCUUCCUGCACGUUCUCUUGAGCGGAUAGCUCAUCUUCUUAUCUCAGAGAAUUGUUUCCCCAAGUAGCUCCAGAGUGUGUAGCUUUGAUACCAUCGAGGCAAGAAGGCAUUAAACCACCCUUUUUGUAAUUAUUUUAAUCGUACUUUUUCAUGUCUGCUUCAUGAAAAGAUGAUGUGGUUAGAUUUAAGCUGGGCCUUGCUGAGGGUGUCGUUUAUGCCUGGGGUUACCCACAUGGUCACGUGCCUUACCUUCUUUUGCAGCAGGGUGAUCUUAUCUUCUUUGUUGCACCUUGUCAGAGAGCAUCCACCUCCUUCCAGCUUUUAUGUGUGUGUGUGCAUGCACACACAUGUGCGUUUAGGCGUGUGUGGAGGUUUGCUCGUGGCAGCAGCUUGUAAAAUGAUACCUUGCCAUUCAUCUAUAAUGAGGCCUUUGCUCUACUCUUAGAAAAGAAAACCUUUAUUGGCUUUUCACUUGGGAAUUUGGAGCAAAGUUUUCCUUAAACAGACGUAUUUCUAUUUAAUUUAAGCAGGGAAUUCUCUUUUUCCCUCUAUGUGUCAGGAACUGACCCAACUACUUAGGGUACAAAGAUGAAUAUGAUUGAGCCAGUGUCCUUGAGAGAUUUUCACCAUAGCCGUAGAGAGAAAGCAUGUUAACAAAUAGCUAGGAUUUAACCCAGAAAGGGCCGAGAAGUGCCAUAAAUGCAGUUCUGAAGGAAGACAGACAAGGGGGACUAGAAAGGAAGAGCCAGGGGAGGUUAUGAAAAGGAGAAGACAUUUAAAAUCCAUAUUUAAAGUCAAGUACAAGUAUUCCAGUUAAAAAGGUAAAAGGUAUUCCCAGCAGAGGGAAUAGCAAAAGAGAUAAGGAAGAUAUGGACAUGUGGGCUAUGUUUAGUAUGGCUUGAGCAGAGCAGGCAUACAGAGGUGAGGCUGGAGAAAGGUGGGCUGACCCAACUAGAGGAGGGCUCUGUGCAUUGUCCUGGGAUGUUUAGCACCUGGGAUAGCAUCCUGGGAUCUUCAGCUGUAAGCACUUUUAGCAUUUAGUGUCCUAGGCUCUUUCGCCUUAAGAUUUAAACCCAAUGAGUGCACCAGACCCCCCGGAAAGACAGGAGGACACCUUACGGGUCCUUGCCAAAAUGAAGACCUUGGCCUUCCCCAGCCAGACAGGGCUGUGCCUGCCAGUCUCUCCCUGGUUCUGACUCAGCCUGUGGCUUUCCUUUCACAAGUGAUUUAACCCUCCUAGUACCUGGCUUGCUGUGGUCAGAGUGUGAAUCCUCAAAGUGUCCUUGACUUCUGCUGACACCUUGAAAGACACAUGGGAAGAAUUGCUUUUAUAGCUCAUGUGGCUCUUGCGAAGUCAAUGGACGCUUAACCAUGACCUCCAUAGGGACAGUAGAAGCAGGCAUUGGUUUGGGUGGUGGCAGUACAUUGUUGCCUGGCUAGGCAAAGAGCUCUGUGCCUGGGAGACUUAGAACUCGUGGCCUUGCCUGGCCUCUGCCACUCUCAGGCUGAAUGACCUUGGACAAGUACUUUCUGUCCAGGCUCCGGUGAACUCACCUGCUCAUGGAGGGGCUGGCCUCCAUGGCUUCCUUCUGUGUCUGAUUCUGUCUUACCUCUUUAACUUUUAGGAACUCAGAGUGUUCUAUGAUGGAAGAGUCUGACCGGAAGCAUUUCAUGUUAACAUAGGGGCUCUGGGAGUUUUGUGCCUUGGACGAGGGAAGAAGAAUCACCCGGAGGCCCAGUGAGGAUCCCCCUUCCUCCAUCUCCUAGCAGCAAAACAGCUGGAGAAAGAGGGAGGCAGAACCCAGCUUCCUACCUGAGUCGUCCUUAGGUGUGGAGGUUUGGAGAAUGCCCCCUGGGAAGGGGGCUCUGGGAGCCACACAGCAGCAGUGGGUAGAAAAGGAGGAUGGAGUGAGGGGGAGGGGGCUACAGCACGCAGUUGUCCUCUGGCUCAGAUAGAUCCAGCCAGCUCCAGCCCCACCACCACUGCCCUCACCCGGCAGAUGCUGUGGCCUGCUUCCAGUGCCUGGCCACUCAGUGCCUCCCAGGCUGCGUGUCAUGUUUGUCACCCUGUUUUCUACUCUGAAGGCUGAGCAUUCUCAAGUCAUAUGCAUUGAGGGCUCCUCUGCACAUGGUCCUCAGUUGGGUUUCAGCGGAGGUGAUCCAUGGCCGCCAAAGCAUAUGUAGAUGGCAGAGCCCAGGAUGGUCUGGCUGCAGCACAGGGCACCUAUUACCAUCCUGACCACAGGUUUUGGUAUCAUAACAAAUGACAUGGGUUCAAGUGCUGGGCCCACUGACUCAGCGUACAGCUUUUCAUGGUCACUUCAUCUCUGUGGGCCUUAUUUUCUCAUCUCCGAAGGGCAGGUAACAGGACUUUGUACGACUGUCAGAAGAACAGACUCAGAUGAAGUCUUAGUGCUGUGCCCGGCAUGUAGUAAGUGCCCCAUAAGUGGUAGCUUUAAAAAAAAAAAACCUAGUAUUAUUAAGGUCUAGAAAAGUAAGUUAGGGCCGGAACAUAGAGGCUCCUUUCUGCCAAGGCAAGGGAUUUAGAUGUUGGCCUUCAGCCCAUGGGCAGCCAUUGAAGAUACUCCAGCAGGGAAUGGCAUUAAAGAAAUUGGUGUUUGGGGAAAUCUCCACCUGUCAUCAUUUUGGGGUGCACCGGAAGCAAGAAGGAAUGUUGGAGCCUGCUCAGGCUCUGUUGGUGUCCAAGCAAAAUGGAUGAGGGCCCAGGGAGGUAGCAAAGGGAAUGGAAUGGAAAAACAGAAUCAAGACCUUUAAAAAGGAAGAUGGCUGAGGAGGAUGAGUUGGGCCCUGGGCUGAGAGGCAGUAGAGGAAAAUGAAGGAGGAUGUACCAAAGAAGGCAUCAACCCAGACUGGGGUGUGAGUGUUCUCUGUCCUGGGGGUGGGGGUGACUGUUGACCCAGGUCCCAACACCGUGGUUUUGGGCACAUUGAUUGGUUGUACAUUUUGUGUCAUGCUUUGUGCACAAAGGGUUCGAGAUGGUUUUACAUGGUCUAUACUUUCCUCGUGAGGAAAAAUGAACUGAAACAGUAAUGACCAAAGGAAAGAGGAGAUGGAAACGAGAACAACAUUGUCGGGAAGUAGAGAAUGAGGAAUAAGAUGACUGACAACACAGGGAUGGGAGUGGUGGUGUCGGUCCCACAAUGUCAACUUGUGGCCUUGGAAUUCUAUUAUUUCCCACCUACUCCCUUCCUUAGGGAAGCAUCCCUCCCAAAGGGACAGAAAAAGCAGGUUCUUUGACCUCUUUUCUACCUUCCAGAAUAACAGUGGGGUAUUUCUCAAUGGUAUUUUUCAUCUUCCUUUUCUUUGUAAUGGCAGAAGCAAGGGCAGUUGCCUUCUUCUCCAGAAGCAGUAAAAGUCCCAGGAAAGGAUGAGAGGGAGGGAAAGCAAGCAAGAGCAACAGAAAGGGAGAGAGAGAACCCAUCGCCAGGUGACCUGCUGGUCGGAUGGUGGUCGUGGCGGCUGCCACAGAACCAUCCAGCUUGUGGCUUUGCUUCCUCUUUCUUUCUCUCUAGUCGCACAGAAUCACUCAGCCCUAGAUUCCUCUUGGGUUUCAGAACGCAAGAGGUCUGUGAGGAUACCUUGCAGUGCCUGAGGCCCGUGAGAGCGUUCCCAGCCACCGCAGAAUGUUUGGAGUCUCCGGGCAAGUGUUGUUUCCAAGUGUUGUCUCUUGGCAGUUGUUGUCAGCUGCUGGGUGGUGUGGGGAGAAAACGAGGCACAGUUGUUUCCUGCAGGUCUCUGCUGACAGUGCUAAUGGAGAGUCACUCAACACUUGGUAAGUGCAGUGAAUGUUUUUAUUCUCAAUGCCCAAAUUUCUCUGGCUUCCGUAAGUUAUUGUUGUCGAGGAAGAAGGUGGUAUCAUCGCCACCCUCCCUCCCCGUGUGGUGUGACAGCGCAGAGAUCAUUAUCUCUACACCUAACUCAGCAUUGCUUUUUUGGGGGUAACAGCUUUCAAAAAACCAUCAACUGGGCUCCAGCCAGUCAGGCUUCAAGGGCAGUUACCACAGUGCAAAAAGGCAGACUGCUUUGUCGGGCGUGCUGCAGGCCACGGAUGCAGGCUUUAGGGGAUAAUGAGCACAUCCUUUCUUUGUCACAGAUCAGAAUCUAGACCCACUGGUUCUUGGGACAAGGAGAGAGGGGGGCUGGGUGACAAGUGUGCUAGUUAACCUAGAGCUCCUUCCCAUCUCUCCUCUGCCAGUCUGGCAGUGGCUGGACACGUGCAGGGUCCCUUUAGAGAGAAGAAAACAGCUUAGCAAACAUCUAGCUGUCAUGAUCUUCUUCCUAAUGGGAACCCUGAGGCUGAACUAACUUUCCCCAGGUCAAGCCCCGCUGCAGUUUAGAGCUACAACAGGAUUCAAGGUGUCAUUGGCUCUGCAUUCAGUGUUCAGACACUUCUUGGUGAAGUGCAGAGAGAUUGGCUCUGCAGAGGUAGCCCUGGACCAAAUCCAGCCUGAGGACCCAGGAGAUAUCGUCUUCACCCAGCUCCAUGCCAGGCCCUCGGUGCCCUCCGGGGAUGCUGCAGAGCCCUCUGGGACAGAUGCUGAGGACACACAGAUGAGAGGACAAGUCACCCGAAGCCAAGUUAUCAGCAGAUUACUCAAACUGUGGCCCGUGGUUCCAUUGGAGCAUGUGCUGGGGAGACAGAUGGUGUCAGAGGAGACAGCCAGACAUUGAAUCCAGAUCAUCCCAUAGCAUUUGAAGACUCGAGUGUAUAUCAACGAUGAUCGUAAGCAAUGAUAACAAAAUCUCUAUUUAGAGAAGGGCUGGGAAGCCAAAUCUUAAAAAAAUUUGGAGCAUCAACUGUGCUCCACCUCACGUUAUAUGGCCUGUGUUAUUUGUUCAUAAGAUCCCUUCUGGAGUGUUCAUAGACAUUUCCUGUGCCAACCCAAAGGGCACAAAGAGGAGGGAGAUAUCCCUUUCCUUCGGGGUGUAACUUCACAAUGCCAAAUGCUUGCAUACAAAGUGAACAGCUAGUUGCUUCCAAAGGUUUCCAGAUAUCCCAGUUUGGGGCAUCAUGAGAGGAGACCAUCAGAAGCUAACUCAUUUGGUAGGGCCUUCUGUGAUUUCAAAGCUAAUAGAUACAGUGAAGGCUAUACCUCUAGUUAGCUCUUUAGAGAAGUAAAUGGUGCAUGCGUUUUUCCUAACUCUGUGGUCAACAUGGAAACGAAGGCCAAGGUCACCGGCCAGCAUUAGAUAGGAUUUAAAGUGUGUGUACCUCUACCUCCAGACAGGCUCCCCACUGUCUCUACAUUCCAGACAGGUAAUGAGGUCACUGUUUUCUUGCUUUGUUUUUCACAUGUUAAACUUGCAGUACCUGCUACCAAGCCUGUGUUGACGUGUGCAAGGAAGGAUGGGGUUGGCAGUGUGUAGUACCCAUUGACUGAUAUACGUGCAUCCUCGCCGUUGCGUAAUUCUAGAGCCCCACCUGGAGAGAAGCUUGUGUGAGCCAAGCUUCAGUGCACAUCUGGAAUCACCUCAAUCAGACAGGCCUCAUUUUUUUUUUCCUGGUCAUUUUGUUUUCCUAUUUCCAUCCAUUGACCAAUAAAUAGGAAAUACAGGAUAGAAAGGUGUGGUUUUUGUGACAAGAAUUCAAGAUGGAGAAAUAAGAUUGCUGGGCUCUGGCCUGGGAUCUGCCUCUAAAGUUACACGUCCCUUAAUUGCCCAUUCAGGGAGCCUGGGGAAGGGGCAAAGACAAGGUGAUAGAGGGCUUUAAAAGUCAAGGUAAAGAUUUUGUACUUGGUCAUGAGCACAGGGGGCCAUUGAAGCAUUUCUUCAAUAGGGAAGGUCCCGGUCAGAUUUACCUUGAGAAGCAUCACUGGCUGCAGCGUAUCCAAGGUUUUGAGGUUUAGACUAGAUGAAUGACAUGGGAAGGCAUGGCCUAGGGCAGUGGGGUUGGGAGGGGAGGGUAGGAGGGGAGUCUCUGGGGAGUCUUUCAGAGAUACACCCUUAAGGGCUUAGCAACCAGUAAACCUGAGUGAUGAGAAACAGGAUGGGAUACAAAAAGAAUCCCAGCUUUUCUGUUGUGGUUGGAUGGGGGUGUUUCCAGCUAAAUGGAGAACCCAGGAGGCAGUAGAUUAGGCAAGAAGGCCACAGAUUUGGUUCUCAAAAUGCUGCAUCUGGAGUCCCCACUGGACAUGGGUGUAGAAAUGUUCAGGGAACCAAAGGAGAGUGAGUCUAAAACUGGGAAGAGAGCUCUGGUCUAGAGAUGGACACUGGGAGGUUAUCGAUUGCCUAGGAAGAGUGUGGAGUUUGGACCUACCAGCCUGCUGAUGAAAGAAACCUGUGGGACUGUCAUCAGGGGCAGGGGGAGCAUGUGGCAAAGAUGAAGAGCGAAAGGUCAGGACAGCUAGUGUAAACUUUCAAGUCUCCUCAUGAUGUCCUUACCAGUGUGUGAAACACCAAGAGCAAGAAUGAAGUUUCUCUGUUUUGUCUCCUCUGUCCUUCGGCACAGAGAACAGAACAGACCAGCACAAACUUUUAAGUGGUGUUUGAAGCCUCCUGGUAGUUCUCUACAGGCAUGUGCCUUCACGUGGGCUGGCAUUUGUUCCCACAUGUUCUGGGUAAACAACUAUUACACCAUGUCACCUGUAUUUUCAGCUGAAUGCCAUUUAUUAAAAAACAAACAGGGGCGCCUGAGUGGCUCAGUCGGUUAAGCAUCCGACUUCGGCUCAGGUCAUGAUCUCACGGUCCGUGAGUUCGAGCCCCACGUCGGGCUCUGUGCUGACAGCUCAGAGCCUGGAGCCUGUUUCCGAUUCUGUGUCUCCCUCUCUCUCUGCCCCUCUCCUGAUCAUGCUCUGUCUCGCUCUGUCUCAAAAAUAAAUAAUAAAAAAUGUUAAAAAAUUUAAAAAAACAAACAAACAAACAAAAAACAAGAAAAACAUAAGCCAUUCCUGCCUAUCAACUGUUAGGACCCAUGUUUAACCAUGAGAAACAUACCUGUUGAUGGGCAUAUUAAAAGAGGUUGGUGUAAUGGAGUAAUAAGUGAUUGAGCAGCACCCUAGGUAUUGAACUGUGCCUUGAAUACCACAGAACUUGAUAGUCCUUUAGACAAAAAUAGUUAAAUAGCAGGGAGGCUGUUUGCUUUUAAACUGAGAGUAAGUUUUCAUCUCAAUGGCAGUUGGGAGGUAAAAAAAGGGUCAGUGAUUUUUCCUACCUUUGGAGGGGAAUCAGAUGAUGCAGACCAGCCAUCUUCUAGGUUGUAUCUGAGGAUAGUAAACUAAAUCAGAGCAUCAUGAUUAAAGAGGAAGUUUGAGUUUAAAGUGGAAGUAAGCUACUGACAAAUUUGUGGAAGGACAGAAGAGUCAGAAGACCUGGGAUCAGGUCCCCCUGUCACCACCUCUCUGACCCACAGGCUCCUCAUCUGUCAGAGUUUGCGGGGGGGGUGGGGAGGUGCAGUCAUCACAGGUAGUCUUCUACAGAUUGUCAUGACAAUGAAUUGUGUAUGGAUUUUUCGGGUCUUUUUUUUUUAGAGAGGGAGAGAGUGUGCCAGCGGGGGAGAGGGGCACAGGGAGAUUGAGAAUCUUAAGCAAGCUCCACUGUCAGCACGGAAGCCCGACUUGGGGCUUGAUACCAUGCCCCUGGGAUCAUGACCUGAGCCAAAAUCAAGAUUUAGAUGUUCAACCACUGAGCCACCCAAGUGCUCCUGGAAAUUGUUCUGUUAUGUGAAGUGUGUUGGGCCCAGGCUGUUUGAUUGGUGUCUUAUCUUGCAGGGAAGACUUCACUUUCAGGUAUGUCUCAGGUCCCUGGAGGGCCAUUCAGAGAGCCGAUGGUCUUUGUGCAGGUUAUGUUUUUGAAACCUUCUUUGGCCCGCAGUUUUGCUUACCCUCUCCACUUUACGAACGUCAGAAAGAUUAUCUGAUUGACUGAUAGAACACCAGCAACCCGGAGAGAUAUUGUAGCACGGCCCAGAGCUAUACUUUCCAUUUUUAUUAAAAUUCUUAUUAACUCAUAGCCCAAGAGCUUUUAAGCCAAGCCUGAUCUCCUUUAGGGCCCCUUGAUUUGAUCAGAGCAAUUUGUGUGCAGUGUUCUGGUCCCACUUUGUGGAAAGGCAGCAAUACAGCAGCCAAAUGGUGUUAUUCAGAAGAUGGUGGGGUUCUCUCUCCCUCCAAAACCACCUGGCCUUACAGCCCUACUCCCACCCUGGCCACAUAGACACACUUGAGGUCUACAAUGACAAAUCUGCUUCCUGAGUUUAAGGCCUCCCACCCCUUUGAAAGUGUAAAUCUUUCUAGGAAAACUUUCAGUCCUUUGUAGCUCAGUGGUGCUGAAUUGGUUGGCUCCUAUUCUGAGUACAAAGGUAACACUUUGGGGGGAAAAUAUCCUGCAAGGUAAGGGUCCUGAGGGAAAAUAACACCAUCUUGAGGUGCUAGGGGGAAAGAGGGACAAGUUGGGGACCUUGCCGCUUGGGGACUAGCUCACAGUCUUGUGGAGUAGGAGCUGUCUGAAAAGGGUGCGAACAAAAUGGUUUUCUCUCAACAAACCUGCAGGAGCUCCAUGUGUGUGAUUGGGUCAGGUCCAUCGUCUGAGCUGUUGGGUAAAGCUGCGUCUCUGUUCUUCCCCCGUGGGCUUCAUGGCGAUUUUUAUCCUUCAGUUGGUGUUUGCUUAAGUGGCCUCCCUGAAUUACUCACAUUUAUCCUUCCGUUAAUAGGGAGUCUUAAACUUAAUGUCAUCACCUUGGUAAUCUGCUAAGCUAUAGAGCGCCUGAAAAUAGCAACUCUCUUAGCAGCUUGCUGAGUAGAAGCCAUUUCUUUCCGGACAUAAACUAUAUCUGGAGCCUUUUUUAUUUUUCCUCAUAUUCGUGUUGAGGUACAGAACACAUAGCGUUGAGGCUGUGAAGGGUGGUGCCGCUAUCCCUAGGAUCGAACCUCCUAUCUCCAGCAUUGCUGACUUAGAUUUUAUUGCCAAGAAUUAAUUGGUAACGUGGCUCUGAAAAACCCCUCAUGAAUGAAAACUUGUAUCUGAGGCCUUAUUUUGUUAUCUGCCCAGUGUUUCUUGCCUGCUUUGUAUUUGAAGGUGCAGAUGUCCAGGCAGAGCCUUCUUCUUUGUAAUUUCAUAAUAUUUAAGGAACUGUUAUUUUUCCCUUUUUUGUCCUCUCCUUUAUUUAUUCUACAAAGAUUCACAGAGCUGGCAUUCACUAUGUCCCUGGAACUGUUGUGAGCCUGCUAACGAUAUCCGGUGAAUAUUAGAGAGAGGACUGAUUCUCAAGAAUAGUUAACAUGGUUAUAGUGCACUGAUGGCUGAUGAAGUAUUCCCAUAAUAUCUAAACUCAAAACAACACAGUGCAGUGUGCAGAGGAAGGAUUAUAAUCACUUCUACCUCAUAAAUGACAAAACUGUCACUCAAGAUCAUGCAGGCAGCAAGUGCUGAAAUCCAGACUCGAACCCAAAUCUGCUAAACUCUAAGCCCUGUUCUCUCAACCAUACUCUACUGCGUCCCUGGAUCUUAAAGAAUCUUCCCAGGAGAUGAGGCAUAAGCAUGUAAUAAGACAAAUGACUAUAUAAAGAAGUCUGUGAUUAAAUAUCAAAUGCGUGGUUAAGACCGGUGUUGCCAGGUUCCAGAAGAUGGGCAAAAUUAUUAUGGUAGCCAAAAAAUCAUGGUAGUAAAAGAGAUGGGGCUUGGUCAGUUAGGUUAGCUGGAGAGAAAGAAGAGACCUUUGACAAGAUAGAACCGAUUUAUCUUUCACGUAGAAGUCUGAGCUGAUGUGGCAGCUGAGCUACAAGAAUUUGGCAUUGACCCAGGCUUCUCCUGCCAAUCCUGGGCUUUCCUUCACCCGCAUCCCCAAGGUGGCUCACCAUCUUGUCCAUAUUCCAGGAAAUAGGCUGAAGAGAGAGGUGGUGGAAAGAGAGUGACCAAACAUUCCAUUUUUGCCCAGUUCUAGGGGAUUUUCCAGGACGUGAAACUUUCAAUGCUAAAAUCAGGAAAGUCCCUGGCAAAUGAGGGGGUUGUCAUGCUAGUUGUCGUGCUAGUUGUAGGGCCGCACCUGAAAGUUGUAUGUUUCACUUGUAGUUCUAUCCAGUUUGCUAGAACUUAGUCACGUGGUCACACCUGGCUGCAAGUGAGGCUGGAAAAUGUAGUCUUUAUUCUGGGUGGCCAUGUGCCCAGCUAAAAUCUUCCCAUGGAAGAAGGGGGUAAGAGAUACCGGGCUAUAACUAGCUGUCUCUGCCAUAACACAGAAAUAUUUUUGGUGGUAGAACAGUGUUCACAAAAGGUAACAAGCUUUUGUGUUGAGUGCUCCCCAGAUGAACUUUGAAAGGUCUGCCGCCUGCUCCCCACUAUUAGGAGAUAGCGUCGACCUAAUAGCUGACGUGUCAUGAUGGAGGGAACCUGUGCGCACGGGUAGUCAGUUCUGCCCCGGCAGACAUGCUCUCCAGCCUUGUUCUUGCUGUGCUGGAGUGCGGUUUCCAUACAAAACCCUCCCAGUUAGAGUUUGAAAUUCAUCUCAUCAAACACUCCAGCUCCAAGGACAAGAAGACUGGAUUGGGAUAGGAAGGGACCCAAGGAGUGAGAGACAAUAUGGCAGUGUUUGGAAAUCAGUUGUUCAGUAGAAGAGAACCUAGGACACAACUUAUGUAACAUAUCCCAGUCUGGUAAAGACCCUUCAUCACCUCCUCUAUCAUCCUAGCCUCCCGGGUAUUCCCAGUCUCCACACUGAUGAUACAAGCGUGUGACCACGUGUCAACUUUGAAUUAUUGUUUCUCUUCUUGAUGGCCUAUGAUUUUUUUUUUUUUUUUUUUAGCAAAAUCAUUUCACUGUGGGGAAUUGAAAUAUCUCUGUUCCUAAACUGAGGCGUGGUCCCUCCUGCCCAAGUGAAUCUCAAGUGUUUCGUGAAUCAGCUAGACUUUGGCCAUGUGUUUCUCAUCACGCUCUAUGCCUGUUUUCUUGUGUACCGUGGAGCUUCCAACUUGAAGAGAAUAAACAUUCCAAAGGCAUUAGCAUGCUUGUAUGAAUUAGUAACUUUGAGGAGGGAAAAAGCUGAAAUGAGAUCCAGCCGCAGUUGUAACAGCUUUACUUGCCUGGAAGUACUUACUUGUCAUUUUGUAAAGGUUUUCAGUCAGCAUCAGCCACUGUGAUGGUUACAGAAGCCUGGGAACAAUUUUGAUUGUGCAGUGAUUCAGGGAGUUAUUAAGGACAAUAAAUCUGCAUUAGUUAAGAAUUGAAGAGCUAUAAUGUAAUAUUAUGCAGCCAUUAAGCAUCACAUUUUCAAAGAAUAUUUAAUGGUGUGGUAAAAUGCUCAUGAUAUAAUGUUAAGUGGAAGAAUCAAGAUCUCAGACUGCAUCUACAGCACGUUUCCAAUUUUGUAAGUUUGCAUAUGGAAAAAAGACUAGAAGGAAAUUCUCCAAAACGUUAACAGUGUUGGUGAGACUAUAGACCACGGUUUUGUGCUUAAAGCCAUCUAUCUUUUCCACAUUUUCUAAAUGAACAACUGUUCCUUCUAUUUUAAUGCAAACAUGUACUACACAUAUAAUUAUGGAAAGUUAUUUACUUUUAGAAGAAUAUAGACCGAAAUGCCCUUUUGUGACUAUGUGAUGACGUUGAUGAAAAUAGACCAUUUUCUGCAAAAGUCCAAGACAAAUAUUGGGACUCCUCACCCUUAAAAGAGCUCUAACACAGUCGUGUGCUCAGUAGGUAGCUUCAGACCUGUGUGGUUCAUUCAUGCAUUCAUCAUCUAUUUAUUGGGUUCCAAUGUGUGCCAGGCACAGUGCUAAACUGAGUAAGGCCUGGGUCCCAACCUUAAGAAGCCUGCCCUACGAUGGGGAGACUUUCAUACUAAUAAGGCAAUAUGUUAAUUGUCUUAGGGAGUUGUGAAUAAAGUAUGUGUUCAUUAGAUGAAUUAGUAGAUGGAUCAAUCAAUGGAUGAACAGAAGCAAGAGUUGGUCACCAGGUCUGACCUUUCCUUUAGGGGUUUUCUGGCACCCUGUGAGAUUUCUCCCAUCUCCUUAUGGGAAUCUCAAGUGUCUGGGCUCUGCCCUUUCAGUCGAUUGCUUCAUAAGACGACAAAGGCAAAUGGAAGAAUUGACCAUCUCUUUCCAUGUGUUGUCCUGGCGAGGCUGUACUGAUUAGGGAAUGGAUGAUUCUGGAAGGAGUCAGAGCUGGAGGCCUCCAGAUGUGCAAAACUUCUCCCUAGUUCAUGCAGGGUUCCUGUGGGACAAGAACUCAAGCUACAGGCAUGAACAGACCAGUAUUUUUUUGGCAGAAUUGGACCCAGCAGGAAGUAGAAAAGGCCCUCUGUCCCCCACUGUCCACCCCCACCCCCGCACCCAACACUGAUGCAGGAACUAAGCAGAGAGGCCCCUUCCAUUCCAGUGAGAGAGGAGUUUAACAGGCCAAUGCCCCAGGGAACAGCAACCCACUGAAUUCCAAUAGCCCUAAGGUAUAAAUAAAUGCCAAGGGAGACUAACACUUCCUGCUGUAGAACUCCCUGGGGCAUAUGGUGUCUCCAGACUGGCAGUAAUCCAGGUAAGCAAAGGUGAGGCGUGAACCAGGUUGGACCAGGGAAAAGACAUCUCCUCCCUAGCAGAUUCUUACUAAAUGCUCUGGCAGUCUCUCUCACUCUCUGGGACACACUACCUCCCCCUAGUGGGGCUUGCAGUUCUCCUCAAAGUCCUGUGUGGAGGAGGACUCCUGAUGUCUUUUUUGCAGGACUCCUGGAAAUCCUUAAGCGAUCUAAGUAAAUGAGUAACUCUUUGGAUAGUGCAAGAUGAAAGUAAAUGAGCUGCCCUGAGACCAUAAUGAAUGCAAAUGAAUUCUGCACCUUUACACAGGUUUGAGAGAGACUAGCAGAGCUACUAGUGGUGAGACUAGUCUGAACAUGAGAGAGACUCAAAAUCAAUGGGAAUCAGGAAGAAGAGAGGGAAGGAAAAUGCAAAGUGGUAGUCCUUGGAGAAGCCAUUAGCCAAGGCUUGGCUUUUAUUCCUUUCUUCCUAAGAAAUACCCUAGGUGGUUUCUGCCCAGUGCCUCCCUGGAGCUUUCUCUUCGAGGGUCCCACAUCCCCACGGGUCUGGGCCGGGGUGAGGGGUACAUCCAUUCCCUGUGCAGAGGCUGUGGCUGCACCCAGUGCGCCUCAGUCAGAAGCUGCCCGGAGGUGCCUAGAAGUAAAUAGACCACUGUGGUGGCUGAGCCCAGACUUGACAGUCACCAAAGAGUGUCUCCUCCACCUUGCCUUCCUUUGUCCUCCUCUCGGGCUCUCUUUCCUUCCGGGAGCCUCUUGAUGCCCUCUGAGCCCCGACCCAAACCUUCCUUUACCUGGAACUGAUCACUAGUUUGGCAGGACCGCCUUCUUCCCCUGCCUGCCUCUCUUCCCCUUCCUGCUCCAGGCUCAGGUCCAAAGCAAGGCCGAGAGGGGAGAGGAAGUGAGUCUCACACCUGUCACUGCUUCUCCAACUCUGUUCCCUCCCCUCCAAACGUUGUUCAGGAAGCCUCUUCAGUCUGUCCCGCUUUCCCCACCACUCCUGGUGUUGCCUGUCCUUCACCCUAGGGAUCCUCUACAAUGAAAUGCCUUGUAUAGUUAGUACUGAUUUGCCUCUGAAAUGUACAUGAAUCUUUCUUUCUUCGUCUAGUUCUCAGUGAGCACCUAAUACAUGCACCCACUGUAGCAGAGGUUAUGGACACGAACAAGCUGAAUCUGGCUGCUUAUAAGGCGAUAGCUAGAAUGCAGUCACUGAAUAGUCCUGAAUCCUGACUGGAAGCAGCAAUCGUGAGGCAGACGGUAACCCCCGGGUCCUGUGCAGAUGGUCCCUUGUUCUCAGGGACCAACACAGGCAGCUCCUUCCCAAACCCCAUUCCUUCAGAGACCCCCUUCUCUCCCACAAGGCAGCUCCACAUUCCCAUAUCACUGCAGCAGGAAGAAGGAUGUUCACCCCCAAGCUGGUUCCUGAGCACACAUUCCUAUGGAAGCCUUGCCAUAAAGGGUGGUUCGGGGAUAUCCUUAGGACUACGCUUCAAGUAAAUGACGAUUAAAACAUAACUUUUUAAACCUGUCCUCUGGGAAUAUAACCACCCUUCAUAAUUUGCAUUUCUUGGAGAAAGCUUCCAAAUAGCAAAUGAACAAAUGAGUUCAUUUUAGAUUUUAUAUAAACCAGAUAUUUUCUUACCAGCCCUAAACCCCUGAACUCUGCCGUUCUCUCAGGGCUCCAUUUCUACCAGCUCACUCACCUUUUGAAGUCAUUUAUGUCAAGGUAUUAUUGGGUUAAAAAUGUUACUUUUAUACGUAACAGGCAUUUUAGCAGAGGAUUCCGAUAGACUGAUGCCUUAACUCUCAAAAAAGAAAAAGAAGAAAAGAUUUUUUUUUUCAUUCCAGUGUUUCUCUCCAUAGCUCUAAUAAGGGGGGGAGGUGGGUAGGGGGAAGGAUCUCACAUAGAUUUUAAGGCAAGUCAAGAAGAGAAACAUUUGGGAAGAAGGGAUUUGGGGCGCUCUAAAAUCAUACACUUUGAGUCUCACACCCAGUAUAUAUAAACACCGCAUUAAUAUUGUUUUCCAAUUAGGCUUUAUGUUCUACCUCUCCAAAGUACUUAACAUGUUAUCUGUAUCACAGGCAGGAGAAGGGGAGGGUGUUGGUCUGCCCAAUGAGAUGCCUUUAAUUCUGAAAUGUAAUUGAAGGUUGUGGAGUUUCUGAGUUUCUGAAUUGAGAGUGCACACCUUUUCCUUUCUGUGGUUGCGUUAGGGCUUGGGAACUAAAGCUAAAGACAAUAAAUAUCUAAAGUUUUAAAUCUGAUGGAGAGAAAAAGAAAGAG